GACGAACGCUGGCGGCGUGCUUAACACAUGCAAGUCGAACGGAAAGGCCCUGCUUUUGUGGGGUGCUCGAGUGGCGAACGGGUGAGUAACACGUGAGUAACCUGCCCUUGACUUUGGGAUAACUUCAGGAAACUGGGGCUAAUACCGGAUAGGAGCUCCUGCUGCAUGGUGGGGGUUGGAAAGUUUCGGUGGUUGGGGAUGGACUCGCGGCUUAUCAGCUUGUUGGUGGGGUAGUGGCUUACCAAGGCUUUGACGGGUAGCCGGCCUGGGAGGGUGACCGGCCACAUUGGGACUGAGAUACGGCCCAGACUCCUACGGGAGGCAGCAGUGGGGAAUAUUGCACAAUGGGCGGAAGCCUGAUGCAGCAACGCCGCGUGCGGGAUGACGGCCUUCGGGUUGUAAACCGCUUUCGCCUGUGACGAAGCGUGAGUGACGGUAAUGGGUAAAGAAGCACCGGCUAACUACGUG
rnacentral:rRNA from 1 species